UGGGGAAUUUUGGACAAUGGGCGAAAGCCUGAUCCAGCAAUGCCGCGUGUGUGAAGAAGGCCUUCGGGUUGUAAAGCACUUUUGUCCGGAAAGAAAUCCUUGGCUCUAAUACAGUCGGGGGAUGACGGUACCGGAAGAAUAAGCACCGGCUAACUACGUGCCAGCAGCCGCGGUAAUACGUAGGGUGCAAGCGUUANUCAGGAAUUACUGGGCGUAAAGCGUGCGCAGGCGGUUUGCUAAGACCGAUGUGAAAUCCCCGGGCUCAACCUGGGAACUGCAUUGGUGACUGGCAGGCUAGAGUAUGGCAGAGGGGGGUAAAUUCCGACGUGUAGCAGUGAAAUGCGUAGAGAUGUGGNGGAAUACCGAUGGCGAAGGCAGCCCCCUGGGCCAAUACUGACGCUCAUGCACGAAAGGUGGGGAGCAAACAGGAUUAGAUACCCUGGUAGUCCACGCCCUAAAACGAUGUCAACUAGUUGUUGGGGAUUCAUUUCCUUAGUAACGUAGCUAACGCGUGAAGUUGACCGCCUGGGGGAGUACGGUCGCAAGAUUAAAACUUAAAUGAAUUGACGGGGUCAUAGCUGUUUCC
rnacentral:rRNA from 1 species